rnacentral:lncRNA from 1 species
UACAUUUAUUCUCUUUCUGAAUGGGAUUCUGACUCAUGCUCGGUUGAGUCUGUGGAUUGAGAACUCUUGGGUAAGGAGUGCUGACUAUUCAUGAAUCCUCACCAUUUUCAUGAGGCAACAGAGGCACAGAGAGGUCUAGAGACUUACUCUGGGUCGCUCAGCAGGUGAGCCACAAGGCUGGGAUCCUUGACCAUUUCUGGACCUGUCUGCUCCCCAUCCUCAUCAGGAGUCCCACUCAGGGCCUCAGGACUCAGAGAUGCUGAGAGUCGGUCUCCUCUCCUCAUUCCAUGAUGACUGCAGCUGGGAGCUCUGUUUUCUCUGUAUUUCCUUUCAGUUUAUAUGACUGAAUGUUUGGUCAUAUUUCAAUGUGCUCAGAGAGUUGUACCUUUUUAUUUCUUGCAUAGGUGACCAUGGGGCAACAACAGAUGCUGAGAGAUCAAGGCAACCACCAAAUGAAAGGCAUUUCACCGAAGGCACCAGCUGUGUCAGUGAAGGAAGAGUCAGAAGACCCUAAUUACUGUGUCUAUAAUGUGCAAGAAAACCGCUGCUCUUCUGCAAGCCGUGAAGUAAUAGGAGCAGAGUUACCAAUGGAAGGUUAGAAAAGUGAAGCUUUCUUUUUCUCUCCCUCCCUCCCUCUCUCAAUUUCUCUCCUUCCCUCUUCUCUCUCUCUCCCUCUCCCCUGUCCCUCCCUCUAUUUUGGAGUUUGCAGUAUUUUGUAGAGAACACAGUCUUAAACAUGUAUGUUUGAAAAUAAACAGUGACUUCCUGACUUGCCUGUCUCA